rnacentral:tRNA from 6 species
GCGCCGCUAGCUCAAUUGGCAGAGCAGCAGACUCUUAAUCUGCGGGUUCGGGGUUCAAGUCCCUGGCGGCGCA